rnacentral:rRNA from 1 species
UACGUAGGGUGCAAGCGUUGUCCGGAAUUAUUGGGCGUAAAGAGCUCGUAGGCGGUCUGUCGCGUCUGCUGUGAAAACUGGAGGCUCAACCUCCAGCCUGCAGUGGGUACGGGCAGACUAGAGUGCGGUAGGGGAGAUUGGAAUUCCUGGUGUAGCGGUGGAAUGCGCAGAUAUCAGGAGGAACACCGAUGGCGAAGGCAGAUCUCUGGGCCGUAACUGACGCUGAGGAGCGAAAGCAUGGGGAGCGAACAGG